GAAAAUUUUUAAUGUUUUUUUUUAAAAAAAGGUAAAUAGGACAGAGGAGUUAAAUCAAACAAAUAUUUCAAGAUGGAUAAACAAAGAGGAAUCAGAAAGGGAAAAGUCACAGGACUCAGCCCAGCAGCAUGGAAAUCUCUAGCUAGUUAGUAAAGAAAACAUGGGAUGAAUGAAACAGACAUGACUGAGGUUAAAACAAACAUUUUAAUAAAAUGCUGCCUAAGGUUGGGGGCUAAAGGGACCCCCUACCUCUCCCCCCAACAUUAAAGGACCUCAGAUGGGCCCAUUGUAUUCACCUCAGUAUGAAAAAGUUUAAAAGCCAGAAGGCAGAAAUCACAAUGAGAAACCUGACCAGCAACUGCUUGGACAAACUGUUAGGCUGCUGAGGUUAAUAAGAUUAUAGAGAUGAAAGUGUUUAAGCUAAUAUUAUAUGAAGAGGUCAUGUCAACUUUGCCUGAAUGUUUUUUGGAAAUGGAUGUUAUGUCUAGCUGGGAAUGCUUCCCCUACACAGUAUUAUAAUUCAAAACUUGUUGAUGAAAUCCUAAUGGAAGUUAUAGUUAGAGGUAUAAGAGUUGAUAAAAUUUUGUAAAAAUUGGUAUAUUUAAAUCAACUUUACAUAAAAUGAUUGCAUCUCUUUUGCCUGAUUGUAUUAUAGAUUAUGUUAUGGGGAUAAACAUUGUGUCUCAGUGGGGAACGUCCCCCACCCCACAGCCUGAUAUUGUAAGAGCAUAGAAAUCCACCCUUCAGGCAAUGCUAACUAAACAUGCUAAAGGAGAUCUCACUUUAAAACAGACAAAAUGGGGCAAUUUCAGUUUACCCAAACUGGUGUGUUUGUGUAUGCAAUUGGAAAAAGUCUGCUAUAAAAUGGAACAACCAAUGAGGAAGCUAUUUUAAUCUUUUGGGGCUUCUAAAUGAAAUCAGGAUACUUUACUGCCUCUUUAAAAGAAAAUAAUUAAAUAAUUAAACAAGCCAGAUUGGUGGAUGUCAGCGGCCCUGCUAGGAAAACGAAACCAAAUCUGCUCUUUCGCUGAGGUUCCUGCUUCGACUCUCCCCAAAUUCUUGAUCUAAAAAAGUGCUUCUUAUUAAGUGCUUGGUUCCUUACUUACACAACAUAAGCCAAUUUGGGGGACCCUUCCUAUGUUCUAGAGAUGAUCCUGGAGAGAACUCCAAUUAAGGAGCUAGGCACUGUCAGAUGUUCCUCUGUGCUAUAUUUGUCGUGGUGACUGGGUCCUAUUAAAAUCCUGGAAGCACAAGAUGGGAUCACAGAAGAAAUGCCACAGAUAAUGGGAACAUGCCAUAGAACAUCACAAUUGGGAUCACCCAAACCUUGGCUGGCUUCAUACUCUAGACACUGACUUUCCUGAAAGGACAAUGGACCCCUGACAGAAUGAAAGUUGCUGUUCAGAAGACAUUCUUCUAAAGAUAAAUAAUGAGUGACUCCAGGGUUCUUACCUUACUUGUUGGACUAUUAAACAACAGGCUACUUGGCUACAUCAGAUUUCACCUGAGGUCCUAGGCACUAACCUUGAUUGGUCUUCUCCUGGAUUCCCCAAGGACUAAGGUCCAUUAUGGAGGGAAUACUAAAAUUUGGGCUGUCUAUUUUGCUAAUAUGUAUGAUCAGCCAUGUAAUUAUAAAAUGUGGACUUAAAUGUUGUUUCAAAGUCACUGAUUAGAGGGCUGAAAUAUUAGUCAUGCGAAGCAUAUCUCACUCUCUCCACCUGGUACCCAAAAAUAUUUAAAAUAAAGGUAGAACAGUUUCAUUC